rnacentral:rRNA from 1 species
AGGAUGAACGCUGGCGGCGUGCCUAACACAUGCAAGUCGAACGUCCUGUCUCGCAAGAGGCAGGGAGUGGCGGACGGGUGAGUACCACGUGGGUCAUCUACCGUGAGGUGAGGAAUACCGGCGAGAAAUCGCCGACAAGACCGCAUAGCCUCGGUGCAAGCCGAGCAAAGCUCUUUCGAGAGAGGGAGCGCCACACGAGGAGCCUGCGCCCGAUUAGCUAGCUGGUGGAGUAACGGUUCACCAGGGCGACGAUCGGUAGCUGGUCUGAGAGGACGAUCAGCCACACUGGGAUUGAGAACGGCCCAGACUCCUACGGGGGGCAGCAGUGAGGAAUUUUCCGCAAUGGGCGCAAGCCUGACGGAGCAACGCCGCGCGCAGGAAGACGGUUUCGGAUCGUAAACUGCUUUUCUCGGGGACGAGAACGGACGGUACCCGAGGAAUCAGCCCCGGCUAACUACGUGCCAGCAGCCGCGGU